rnacentral:rRNA from 1 species
GAUGAACGCUGACAGAAUGCUUAACACAUGCAAGUCUAUGAGAAGAUCUACUUCGGUAGAAGGUUAUCAUGGCGGACGGGUGAGUAACGCGUAAAGAACUUGCCUCUUAGACUGGGAUAACAGAUGGAAACGUCUGAUAAGACUAGAUAUAAUAGCGACAUGGCAUCAUGUUGUUAUGAAAGGUAACACUAAGAGAGAGCUUUGCGUCCUAUUAGUUAGUUGGUGAGGUAAUGGCUCACCAAGACGAUGAUAGGUAGCCGGCCUGAGAGGGUGAACGGCCACAAGGGGACUGAGAUACGGCCCUUACUCUUACGGGAGGCAGCAGUGGGGAAUAUUGGACAAUGGAGGAAACUCUGAUCCAGCAAUUCUGUGUGCACGAUGAAGGUUUUCGGAUCGUAAAGUGCUUUCAGUAGGGAAGAAGAAGUGACGGUACCUACAGAAGAAGCCCCGGCUAACUUCGUGCCAGCAGCCCGCGGUAACGCUCGU